CUUACUGUAAAACAGUUCUUACCACAAUACUGCUGAAAUCUUUCGCACUGGACCUCUUGAUGUUUUUCAGGUUUUCUGAUUCUUCCACAUAACCAACGAGCUAGAAACUCUUUCCCUCAGAGAUAUGACUUUACCUGUCAGCUUAUAUCACACUCUCACCAAGUCUCUCUGGGUUAAAGUGUUAUCACUCUCAAAUCACAAUAUACAAUAUCAAAUCAGAAGUUUGAAUAAAUUCUCUCAUCCUAUCAACAUGUACAAUCACACACACUUUUUGAGGUCUUUUAGGGUUGUAACGGGGCUUUGGUUUAGGUAGGGUAUGAAAUUGGAACAAGGGUUUUUUUUUUCUUUUUUUCUUUUGGGUUGUAACGGGGUUUUGGUUUAGGUAGGCUAUGAAAUUUGAACAAAGGUUUUUGGGUUCAGAGUACAUGAAAUCAUUCUCUCACUACGUUUCUUUUCUAUUAUUCCUGUAGGGUUAUGCAAUCCUCUUUUCCUUUUAUAUAUAGUGAAUGUAGCAUCUUUCAAAAGCUGUUCUUUUAUUGUUUUUCGCUUUUCUCUUCUUUUUUUUUUCUUUUCUUUUUUUUUCUUUCUUUUAUACUACAUUCACUUACUAUUCACGUACUGCAAAGCUACCCCAAACUUAAAGGUUGUUAUUCCAACAGCAACCCCAAACUUAGAUAGAAACGUAGAGAUGAAAUUAAUCCUCACAUAUUCUGAACAGGGUAUGAUAGGUACAAGGUCAUGGCUUUUAGAAAAAAAAACGGGUAUAUCAGAAAUAAAUGAUUA
rnacentral:lncRNA from 1 species